AAAGUAAGGGCGUAUGGGGAAUGCCUAGGCUCUCAGAGGCGAAGAAGGACGUGAUAAGCUGCGAUAAGUUGCGGGGAUUGGCACAUACAAAUUGAUCCGCAAAUUUCCGAAUGGGGCAACCCACUAUGUUGAAGACAUAGUACCUUUAAUUAGGAGCAAACCCGGGGAACUGAAACAUCUAAGUACCCGGAGGAAGAGAAAACAAUAGUGAUUUCGUUAGUAGCGGCGAGCGAACGCGAAUUAGCCCAAACCAGAUUUGUUACGGCAAAUCUGGGGUUGUAGGACCACGAUAUUUGAAACACAAUGAAUUAGAAUCCUUUGGAAAGAGGAGCCAUAGACGGUGAUAGCCCGGUAUAAGUAAAGCGUGCGUAGAUAGUGGUAUCCUGAGUAGUGCGGGGCACGUGAAACCCUGUAUGAAUCAGCCGGGACCAUCCGGUAAGGCUAAAUACUCCUGAGAGACCGAUAGUGAACUAGUACCGUGAGGGAAAGGUGAAAAGAACCCUGAAUAAGGGAGUGAAAUAGAUCCUGAAACCAUACGCUUACAAGCGGUCGGAGCUGACUUGAUCAGUGACGGCGUGCCUUUUGCAUAAUGAGCCUACGAGUUACUGUUGUUAGCAAGGUUAAGUACUUCAGGUACGGAUCCGUAGCGAAAGCGAGUCUGAAUAGGGCGCUAUAGUUAGUUUGAGUAGACGCGAAACCGUGUGAUCUACCCAUGGGCAGGGUGAAGCUGUAGUAACAUACAGUGGAGGCCCGAACCGAUAUACGUUGAAAAGUGUUCGGAUGACCUGUGGGUAGGGGUGAAAGGCCAAUCAAACUCGGAAAUAGCUCGUACUCCCCGAAAUGCAUUUAGGUGCAGCGUUGAUUUAUAGUUUUAUAGAGGUAGAGCUACUGAUUGGAUGCGGGGGCUUCACCGCCUACCAAUUCCUGACAAACUCCGAAUGCUAUAAAAUGUUAAUCAGCAGUGAGGGCAUGGGUGCUAAGGUCCAUGUCCGAGAGGGAAAGAACCCAGACCAUCAGCUAAGGUCCCCAAAUGUAUGUUAAGUUGAAAAAACGCGGUUGAACUGCUUAGACAGCUAGGAUGUUGGCUUGGAAGCAGCCAUUCAUUUAAAGAGUGCGUAACAGCUCACUAGUCGAGCGGUUCGGCAUGGAUAAUAAUCGGGCAUAAACAUACUACCGAAGCUAUGGGAUCCUGCAAGAGCAGUGAUCGGUAGGGGAGCAUUCUAAUUGUGUUGAAGGUGUGCUGUGAGGCAUGCUGGAACGGUUAGAAAAGAAAAUGUAGGCAUAAGUAACGAUAAUGCGGGCGAGAAACCCGCACACCGAAAGACCAAGGUUUCCUCAGCUAUGCUAAUCAGCUGAGGGUUAGUCGGGACCUAACGCGAACCCGAAAGGGGUAGUGGAUGGACAACAGGUUAAUAUUCCUGUACCUGCUCACGCUAAAAGUGACGGAGGCGAGAAGUUGGUGCGUACAGACGGAAUUGUACGUUGAAGGGAGUGGUAACACCCCGAUAGUACACCGAGACCACGGUCAAGGUGAUAAUCCAGCAUAUCGACUUCCAAGAAAAGCGAGUGAAGCAGCCCGUACCGUAAACCGACACAGGUGGUUGGGAUGAGAAUUCUAAGGUGCUCGAGAGAUUCAUGGCUAAGGAACUAGGCAAAAUCGACCCGUAACUUCGGGAGAAGGGUCGCCCAUCUUUUAGAUGGGCCGCAGUGAAGAGGUCCAGGCGACUGUUUAUCAAAAACACAGGGCUCUGCUAAAUGGAAACAUGAAGUAUAGGGCCUGACACCUGCCCGGUGCCGGAAGGUUAAGAGGAGGGUUUAGCUUCGGCGAAGAUCUGAAUUGAAGCCCCGGUAAACGGCGGCCGUAACAAUAACGGUCCUAAGGUAGCG
rnacentral:rRNA from 1 species